ACGUGAGAAUUUGCCUUUAGGAGGGGGACAACAAUUGGAAACGAUUGCUAAUACCCCAUAUGCUUGAGAGUGAAAUAGAUUUAUCUGCCUAAAGAAAAGCUCGCGGCUGAUUAGCUAGUUGGUAAGGUAAUGGCUUACCAAGGCGACGAUCAGUAUCUGGUUUGAGAGGACGAUCAGACACACUGGAACUGAGACACGGUCCAGACUCCUACGGGAGGCAGCAGUGGGGAAUUUUCCGCAAUGGGCGAAAGGUUGACGGAGCAAUACCGCGUGAGGGAAGACGGCCUAUGGGUUGUAAACCUCUUUUUUCAGGGAGGAAUCAAUGACGUGUACCUGAAGAAUA
rnacentral:rRNA from 1 species